AGUGUGUAAGUUGAUUGAAAAUUAUACUUUAUGGAUAAAUACAUCGAUGAAAUUAUAUUUACAAAUUAAUAUACUUAUCUUGUAUAAUUUUAGGUGACGAACUUAUGUGGUAUGAAAUGAUUGGUUGGUUACAAGCAUCGACGGCUUUCACUUUUUAGUGAAUCCCUUCAUGCCACGUAAAGUGGGACAAGGGUUCUGAAUUGAUUGGGGCAGAAACAGGAAAUGACUUGUAACGAUUGUAAUAUAUAAGUGUUGUGAGGUAGAUGGAUUCUUUAACCAAAAGAAUGCUUGCGGAUUAAACAUCACUGUUUGCAGUUGCCAAAUUUAUCAUCCUCUACCUACAACUCAUGUGAUAGUGAUACAUAGCUACAGUUUAUCCUCUCUAUCUCUAUCGCAUUAACUUGAUUUCAAGAAUGUAAUACGCAAGUUGUAAUGUAACAUUUAUAUAGCAUUGACUCGUAUCAAUAUCCUCUUGAGGGAAGAAAAAAUAUUAAUAAACAAACAAACAAACAAACUUGUAUCAGUAACCUUUCAUUUCAAUCUCAGUGUUGGAUUCUAGCAUAUAACUAGUAGUUGACACAAAUAAUUGUCAUUAAACUGAUAACAACGUUUCUAAUUAUAUAUUAUCAUCGAAGAUUCAAGCAAAGAGUGCAUGAAAGUGCAAGGUAAUUAUAGCUAAUGGUUGACACAAAUAUAUAGCUGUCAUUAAACUAAAUGUCGGUAUUUAUCAAAUUAAAUUAUAGCUACCUUAGUACUAAAUAUGAGUUUAAUUAGAUGAGAUGAGAUUUGAUGUGCCUUAAAAAGCUUUGCCCUCGAGCAAUGCCCCUCUUUAGUAUACCAGAGGUUCUACGUCACGAUCUAACGAGCAACCACCAAUUAAUAAUAUUAAGACACAUGGUAAUAAAAAUUAAAAAAAAAUGGAAUAAACAAUACAUAUUCCCCUCUUUUUAUUAUCCCUAUAAAAUUUUUAAAGUACGAGACAAAACAUUAAAAUUGUCUCUCUCUCACGUAAUUAACUCCAUCUUAUUCUUUUUUUCUCUCUCUCACUCAAACCUUUCAUCUAUCAUCUUUUUAAAAAAGAUAUCGACUCUUUGACUGAUUAUGCAUAAUAUGUGAAAGAUUUUAGUAAUAUAGGUCCAGAAUUAAUUCUUUGUAAUUAUAGGAAGAGUUUUAACGGAUUUGCAAAAGACAAAAGUUCAAAUAAUGGCUGUCGGUGGGGGGUGAACAUAACUUUUUUUUUGGGUGAAUUGUUAAUUAAUUUAAUACCAAUUUUAAUUUGCCAUAAGAAUGAAACUAAGGGAAGUAAUACAACUUUUUGGUCAUUAUUUGAAGCUAUAUUAUCCUCGCUGUUGAUUUGGCUUCAAAACGAGCUGAAACUCUUAAAUGGUAUUUUUCCUUUGAUGAAUAGAUAGGCGAAGCAGCCAAUCUAUUUCAAUUAUUUAAAGCAAUGGGAGGCAUUGGAAAGUGAUGAAGUGAUUGGAAUAUUUGACACUGGAAUUUGAGAAAGUUUUAAUUAAAAUGGCAGCACUCAUGUUUCAAAAAUCAUCUUCUCUUCACCAUCAACAGAAAUCUUCUCCUUCGUAAUAACAAAAAUUAACUAUAAUCAUUUUCAUCAAUUUUUUUUUUAAAUUCUUCAUCACGUUUUAAAAAUGGCAGCCGGUGGAACAAAGAUGAAAGAUGAAGAUUUGGGUGAGAGAGAGAGAGAGAAUUAGACAGAGUUAAUUAAGGGUGAGAGAGAAAAAUUUAAUGCUUCGUCUGUUCAAAUUUUUGGUGGGAUAAACAAAAGUGGAUAAUAUGUAAUUUUGGAAGCCAGCUCCCGUAUUUAGAUAUUAUAAUCAAUGGUUUCAGUUUUUACGUUAAAUUGUAAGUUAUGAUUAUAUUAGAGUUGUUUUAAA
rnacentral:lncRNA from 1 species